rnacentral:rRNA from 1 species
UACGAGAGGUGCAAGCGUUGUCGGGAUUUAUUGGGCGUAAAGCGUUUCUAAAGGCGCUUUUGCAAGUUAUUUUUCAAAGCCCGAAGCUCAACUUCGGCAAGGGAGGUAAUACUGCAAGAGUUGAAAUAUUUCGGGGUUACUAGAACUAUCGGUGUAGGGGUGAAAGCCGUUGAUAUCGAUAGGAAGUCCAAGGGCGAAGGCAGGUAACUAGGAAUUUUUUGACGCUGAGGAACGAAAGCUAGGGGAGCGAAAGGG